rnacentral:lncRNA from 1 species
AAGGCCGUCUGUCGAUAUCCAUGUCUAACAUUGCCAAGCUUCCAUCAAUGACACACUGAGGCAUAAUUUCAGCUGCUACAGUCGCCAUGUUAUUCUUCUCUCGACCUUCCCUGCUAUAAAGGUACGUAUCUAAAUGUGUUUGGGUAGUGAGGCAAUUUGGUUCUAUGUAUCAGAGGUUCAAUGAAGUUUGACUGUUCUUCAAAUUCUGUAUUCUUUAUUUAAGGGUUUAUUAAGAAUUAAUAAGCAUCGAUUUAUGUGUCCAUCUUUGGUUCUUGGGUAGAAUCAAGAGUAAAAAGUUGGUUGUUUCUGCUUCUAUAGAAUUCAAUAAUUUCUAGUAACAAUGUUCUUGUGCAUCUUGUUAUCUUAUUAUUGAUGAAACAUGCGUUUUUUCCUAUGAUUCUUUUUUCCUGGCAGCAAUCUUGGGCAUAUUUUGUUACUUGCUUGUCUGUUCUAUAUAUGUACUUGUGUGUGUUUUUGUUGAGGAAACUCAAAAGCACAUCUAUUAUAUGCUGCUGCUUAGCAUUUCCCCUAUAGUUCGCAUGAGAAUUUGGUGAGAUUCUUCUUGUUAUUGUAAUUGUCUUGUGAUUCCCUCAAAAUAGGUAUUUUCUCCUAGGAAUUCUCUUCCCUUGACUCUGGGACCAGCUUCUUUCACACACACAAAAACACGCGCAGCGAUAGAAAGACUGAUUAUUUUAAUUGCAUACUUGACUCUGGGGUUGUACUUUGUACAUAGUGUGAUAGUGGUAUCAGGAGAAGUUUCAAUAUAUGCUUUUUUUCUUGAUACUUGAAUGUGUCAGUUACAAAAAAAGGAAAAAAAAAAAGUAAUCAUACAUAUAAUUGGAUAUGUCAAGGUUUUAUAAAUUACACAGUCUAAUUGAAAUCUGAUACGAAUUUAUAGGAGUCUUAUUCCAAAAAGGCCCCAACAUAAUAUCACAUAUUGCUUCUCUUGCCCUUGGAAUUCCCUUCUACACACUGUGUGGAGAUUCAUUUCUUCAAAAUAAUGUAAUAUAUGUUGAUAAUUAUUGGUAAUGUGUCAAAAGAAAUUUUACAUGUGGCAUUGGUUUAGAAGAUUGUGUGACAAAUGGCUCUACUAAGCCAAGUGACUAUGAAUACCCACCAUGUGGCACUUUGCAUGAAGAUAUGUCUCCUCUUUCAUGCAAUCAAACAUUUGGCAAUAGCAGAAGCUUUCCUUAGGCCUAUAAAUAGUCAUGAUUAGGUCAUCAUUCUUCAAUCAUCAAACACCAAGAAAAGCUAAUCAUUAGCAAAGAAGAAAUUCUUCUUUCUUCUUUCCCUGAUAUACGUCCCUCUCCUUCUAAUUUCUUCUUCUAUAAUAUUUUAAUUGGCAUAAGAUAUUAGUUGCUCUUUCUCUUUCAAAUUGCUGGAUUUAUUAUUUAAUUUUGUUGAUUCCUGUAUCCUCUAUCUAACUAGAGAUGGGCUUGUUUAAUCCUGGGGAAACAUUUCACAUUGUUGAAAUAGUUUCUUAGGACAGUACCUAGCAUGCUCAAGCCAGUUGGUGUAUUUUCGCUCACGAAUAAUUUUUUUGCAGUAUUAUUAUCGUUAUUUUUCGGUAUCAUUUCCCUACAAUAUAUGGCAACUCCUUACUGCAACAAUAUGAGGUUUCCCAUCAAAUUGUUAAAUAGAUUGAUGCAAUGUCAGUGGAUGAAAUGGAUUAUAACUUUCUGACAUAUAAUCAGCCUUAAAAGUGACCAAGUUUUAGUACAAUAAUAGUAAGUCUGUGGUAACUCAUACAUAGUGAUUUAUUUUAUCAAAGUGGUAAUUUUGUCUCAUCUAUCCAUUGUAUUCCUGCAAAAUCCAUAGUGGUGAAAAUAACCUUGAUAGUAUUAUUACUGAUUACAAUAGACCUUGGGCCUAACUCAACCCCAAAAGCUAGCUUAUGAGGUGAGGAUUGCCCAAGCCAUAUGCAAUAGAAACGAGUAUUAUUUCAGUUGUUUUGUACCUGAAUAUUGUGUCCUUGAUCCCAUUUUGAGAAUUCAACCUAUCAAUAGUAUAGGUUUUGUGCUAUGACAAUAUAUUGAUUCACAUCAAGUUUAUUACUUAGCAUACUGGACAGAUCCAACUUAAGCAGUAAAAACUAUUUAGGUAUAGUAUAUAUUUCCCAAAUUGAAUUUAAGGUUAAAAAUUGAUAAGAAUUGACCUUGGGCCUAACUCAACCCCAAAAUAAGAAUGGACAUUGGGCCUAAUUCAACCCCAAAAGCUAGCUUUUGGGGUUGAGUUAGGCUCAAUGUCCAUUCUUUUCAUGGUAUCAGAGCCAGGCCCAUCCCACAUGGCUUGGGCAAUCCUCACCUCAUAAGCAAGCUUUUGGGGUUGAGUUAGGCCCAAGGUCUAUUGUUAUCAUGGUAUCAGAACCAGGCCCAUCCCAAUUAUUGUUACCGAUGUUGGGCCCCCAUUUAUGUUGUCCACGCUCCAGAGAUCUUGGGCGUGAGGGAGGGUGUUGAGUUGUCCCACAUCGGAGGGAUUUGAGGUCCUUGGUCUCUUUUGACUUUUGAUCUGGGCGUGAGGGGGGGGUGUUGAGUUGUCCCACAUCGGCGGGAUUUGAGGUCCUUGGUCUCCUUAGAUGGCUUGGGCAAGCCUCACCUCAUAAGCUAGCUUUUGGGGUUGAGUUAGGCUCAAUGUCCAUUCUUUUCAAUUACCAUAGAUUAAUUUGGUCUUUUCUUUUAAGUUUUCGCACACAAUUGUAUUUGUUUUAGCUCACUAUUUUUUUUCUCCUUAAUAUUGAUGGGAGAAUUUACAUAGCAGAGAAGACAAGUCUCGGAAAGAUUGCAUUUUGUUCAUUAUGUGCCACUUUUCAUGUUGGUAAUAAUGAACAAGGUAGCAUGGAUUUUGCAUUAUAAUUUUUAUUUGACUUGAGAAAUAGAACAAAGUCAACGUUCCUAGGCCUAAGCAAUUGUCUGUUGCCUCUUUUAUUAUUUGGUAAAUAAUUAAGUAAUAUUAAAGAUGAGAGUAGCAGAGAUGAAAAUGUUGAGAUGGAUGUGUGGGUGUACUAGGGAAGAUAGGAUUAAGAAUGAAGCUAUCCAGGACAGAGUAGGAGUAGCCUCCAUGGAGGACAAGAUGCGGGAGUCGCGGCUAAGAUGGUUCGGACAUGUUAGGAGAAGAAGCAUUGAUGCCCCUGUUAUGAGGUGUGAGACGUUGGCCAUAAAGAGUUUGAAAAGGGAUUGGGGUAGGCCUAAGAAGUAACAUGGAGAAGCGAUUAGGCAGGACAUAGCGUUGUUUCAGCUUACUAAGCAUGACCCUUGAUAGGAGGGUGUGGAAGUCGAGGAUUAAAGUAGAAGGUUAGUAGGUAGUUUAUAGUGUUCAUCAAUAGGCUUAGUAGCGUGCAUGUCCCUUCAUAUUCUUAGAUGUUUUAUUAUGAUAUGUGAUUUUGUUCGCCUCAGGUAUUAUAUUCCCUAUUGCAAUUAUUUAAUACUACUUAUCUUUUAUCUCUCCCUUUUUUCUCUUCCAUCUUUCUUCCUUCCUUACUUCCCUCUUCUUCUUCUUGCCCUUCCUGAGCCGUGGGUCUAUUGGAAACAGCCUCUCUACCUGCAUUAGUAGGGGUAAGGUCUGCGUACAGACUACCCUCCCCAGACCCCACAUGUGGGUGGGUUGUUUGUUGUUGUUAAUUAAGUAAAAUUCCACCUAGUUUGACUACUGGUUAUCUGUAUUUUCAGUGUGACUGUUGACUCAUUCACUUUGCUGGAACUGCUUGAUGCAGAGUACGAUUAAUGAACUGAUUCAAAAGUCGUUCAGUGAAUUAAGUGAUGCAUUUUAGAACUUGUUGAGGACUUUCUGCUCAAUUUAAUUUCCGGGUAAUAAGUGUGUUGUAAUAUAAUAUAUAGAGAACAUGUAUUCUUGUCUCUUAAAUCGCCUGCAUUCUGUGGUAUGAACGACCAGAAUUGUGUUAAUGAGAAUGUUGCAACUAGUACUUUGCACCUUUUCUUAAUUUGAUGUUCCUGAACGAUAAUUUUUCGUGCCUGCUAAAUAUGGACGUGGCUUUUCAAUCUCAACAUUUUUCUAGUAGUAACUUGCAUAUGUUUCAAUGAAAGAAGAAAACAAAUUAUAAAGCUUAUUAACCUUUUGAAUCGCAAUGAUAAAUUGACUUCUGUGUUAAGAACUCUUGAAACUGUGUACAAGAGUUGUAUAAAAUUUGAAUCAUGAUGUUCCAGGUUGUUUCCGCAUAUGUUCAUUUUUUGUUACUGUUUUAAUAUCUUUUUUCUAUGGUUAACACACGCACAAACAG